UGGUGGAGUCAUGAUUUAGCAGCAAGACUCUGGGAGCAGGCCAGCAUCCACAUCUGUUCUGAACUAAGAAGGAGCUAGAAGUCAGAGAGAGGAAAAGGGAGACACAACUGGCACCCAGGACUCCUUCCCACUUCACUGUGUAUGGAAUUCUUCCUACCUCCUCACAGCAUCCGGAACUGAACGAACGGACUUCUUUGGCUGAGAGAGGAAAUGGGAAAGAUGUAACAUUGAAGAGCCCGGAAUAUUCUACGGAAGCAGGCAUGAGGAACCAAGAAAAGACAAGAAUCAGGAGCUAGCAAAUUGAGAAGGAAGGCUGGAAUGGCCUGGAAUGACCUCACAGCCAAUCACUGAGGACCCUUGUGUUUUGGGACAUGAAGAAUCUGGCACAGGCAGAAUGAUGUCACAGUGUGAGCUCCAGGACAUAACACACAGAAGCAUGGGGAUCCUCCUGAUAACUGAGUUCCCUCAAGUUUUUAUCUCUUGGACUUGUUCAUGCUGAGCCUCUAGUAAUUCAUCAAUGACAGUUCAGGUUUCCCUACCCUGACACCGAUUCCCAUGGAAGUUUCUGCUUUGAUCCUCUACAGUCUACAUGCCUGACGCCAUGUUAAUAUCCUCUGCCUGAGAUACUGCAUCUGGCCUGGCAGCUGUGAUCAGGCUCCUACUUGGUUCAGUGUGCAGUAGCCUACAUCAUCUUCCAGAUUCAUUCUACA